GUCGUAGGCGUGAUCUAGCGGUUAGGAUGUCUCCUUUACAUGUUUGUACAUCUACGACUGUACUCGGAGAAUGUCGCCGGUUCGAUCCCGGUAUGUGAUA